rnacentral:rRNA from 4 species
CCGGAGUGGACGCAUCACUGGUGUUCGGGUUGUCAUGCCAAUGGCACUGCCCGGUAGCUAAAUGCGGAAGAGAUAAGUGCUGAAAGCAUCUAAGCACGAAACUUGCCCCGAGAUGAGUUCUCCCUGACUCCUUGAGAGUCCUGAAGGAACGUUGAAGACGACGACGUUGAUAGGCCGGGUGUGUAAGCGCAGCGAUGCGUUGAGCUAACCGGUACUAAUGAACCGUGAGGCUUAACCUUACAACGCCGAAG